UACGGAGGGUGCAAACGUUGCUCGGAAUCAUUGGGCGUAAAGCGCACGUAGGCGGCCCGGCAAGUCGGAUGUGAAAGCCCUCGGCUCAACUGAGGAAGUGCAUUCGAAACUGCCAGGCUUGAAUAUGGAAGAGGGUCGCGGAAUUCCCGGUGUAGAGGUGAAAUUCGUAGAUAUCGGGAGGAACACCAGUGGCGAAGGCGGCGACCUGGGCCAAUAUUGACGCUGAGGUGCGAAAGCGUGGGGAGCAAACAGG
rnacentral:rRNA from 1 species